ACUUUCAAUGACCCCUUGUUAAGUAGUGGUGCCGCUCUUAUUAGGUUGAAAAGUAAUAAGAGUAGUUCACUACUUAUCAAGGUGAAAUUUGAAAUUU
rnacentral:pre_miRNA from 15 species